AGGUGCCCACGAAUGUCAGGAUUCCCAUAAAAGUGACAAUGUUGAUAACGAAGAACUAGAAGAGCUUCUUUGCAGUGGCAAUACACAGUCAUCAUCUGAGCCAAGCACCGUUGGAAAAAUCAGUCAGUUUGUUCGUCGCGUUGGAUUUUACGUGGGAUACACCAUCGUAAAAUAUAAUCUUAUAUCCCAUAUGUAAUAACACAUUUUCUCAGAUUUAUUCCUUAUUUUUUUCUUGAUAUAUUUUUUUGAAAUUUAAGUAUAUAUGUUUAAGAAUGAUUGUCGUUUCGUCAACUCAGCGGUUGGCCCUGUGCAGGCAAUAACUUUUUUCAUUACGUUGGGAACCCACGGCGCUUAUAAAACCUAUAAAUUGGUUUCCCUUUUAUGUAUUUCUGACAUAUUUCGUUUGUAUUGAGCUAUUGCGACCAUCGUAUUAAAGAAGGAACUUGAGCAGUUUUAUAGAAGGCU